rnacentral:rRNA from 1 species
GGUGCCCUCGUUAAAUUAGAACCACGCCAAUCCAUCUCGAACUUGGUAGUGAAAUGAUUUGAAGGCAACAAUACUUAUAGGGAAGCCUAUCGGAAAAAUAGUUUGGUGCCUG